GAAGGAAGCAUAUCCCAUCCGCCUUGAGGCGUUUGAUUUCAAGAGCCCUCUCUUCAGGCAGCAUGUGUUUGUGGGGAGCAGAGGCUCCGCGUACACGCAGCUAUAAGCAACUUGCCAAAACCCACUCGGCAAAACACCGUCCUGCUGACGUAGCUGAGGGGGUGACUGCCGUGAGAAGCCACAGGGAGCAAACCCUCCAGUCUCUCCAGAGUGUUGGGAUGAAUAAUAUUACUGGAUGAUGUGUGGGCAUUUAAUCAGACCCACACGUAUGCAAAAUCAAACACACAUAUAUGCAGAGCGACUAAAGAACAGAGACUUAUCUGUUCGGAUUCUGGAGCAACAUGAAAAAAAAAAUAGAUUUUUUUCUUCA